ensembl:lncRNA
UGUAUGUUUUGUGGAGGUGUGUGGUGGGGUGUGGAGGUGUGUGGUGGGGUGUGGAGGUGGUGUAGGGGUGUGUGGAGGUGUGUAGUGGUGUGUGGAGGUGUGUAGUGGUGUAGUGGAGGUGGUGUAGUGGUGUGUGGAGGUGUGUAGUGGUGUGUGGAGGUGGUGUAGUGGGGUGUGGAGGUGGUGUAGUGGGGUGUGGAGGUGGUGUAGUGGUGUGUGGAGGUGGUGUAGUGGUGUGUGGAGGUGUGUGGUGGGGUGUGGAGGUGGUGUAGUGGUGUGUGGAGGUGUGUAGUGGUGUGUGGAGGUGGUGUAGUGGUGUGUGGAGGCGUGUGGAGGUGGUGUAGUGGUGUGUGGAGGUGGUGUAGUGGUGUGUGGAGGUGUGUAGUGGGGUGUGGAGGUGGUGUAGUGGUGUGUGGAGGCGUGUGGAGGUGGUGUAGUGGGGUGUGGAGGUGGUGUAGUGGGGUGUGGAGGUGGUGUAGGGGUGUGUGGAGGUGUGUGGUGGGGUGUGGAGGUGGUGUAGUGGUGUGUGGAGGUGUGUAGUGGUGUAGUGGUGUGUGGAGGUGGUGUAGUGGGGUGUGGAGGUGGUGUAGUGGUGUGUGGAGGUGUGUGGUGGGGUGUGGAGGUGGUGUAGUGGUGUGUGGAGGUGUGUGGAGGUGGUGUAGUGGUGUGUGGAGGUGGUGUAGUGGUGUGUGGAGGUGUGUAGUGGUGUGUGGAGGUGUGUAGUGGUGUGUGGAGGUGGUGUAGUGGGGUGUGGAGGCGUGUGGAGGUGUUGUAGUGAGGUGGUGUAGUGGGGUGUGGAGGCGUGUGGAGGUGUUGUAGUGGUGUGUGGAGGCGGUGUAGUGGUGUGUGGAGGUGUGUAGUGGUGUGUGGAGGUGGUGUAGUGGUGUGUGGUGGUGUAGUGGGGUGUGGGUGUGGAGGGUUAAGAUGAGAUGAGUUCUGUUCUGAUGAGAUGAGAUCUGUUCAGAUGAGAUGAAAUGAGU